rnacentral:rRNA from 1 species
UACGUAGGGGGCAAGCGUUGUCCGGAAUCAUUGGGCGUAAAGCGCGCGUAGGCGGCCCGGUAAGUCCGUUGUGAAAGUCAAAGGCUCAACCUUUGAACGCCGAUGGAUACUGCCGGGCUAGAGUCCGGAAGAGGCGAGUGGAAUUCCUGGUGUAGCGGUGGAAUGCGCAGAUAUCAGGAGGAACACCAGUGGCGAAGGCGGCUCACUGGCCCGGUACUGACGCUGAGGUGCGAAAGCGUGGGGAGCAAACAGG